GUGGGGAAUCUUGCGCAAUGGGCGAAAGCCUGACGCAGCCAUGCCGCGUGAAUGAUGAAGGUCUUAGGAUUGUAAAAUUCUUUCACCGGGGACGAUAAUGACGGUACCCGGAGAAGAAGCUCCGGCUAACUUCGUGCCAGCAGCCACGGUAAUACGAAGGGGGCUAGCGUUGCUCGGAAUUACUGGGCGUAAAGGGCGCGUAGGCGGACAGCUUAGUCAGAGGUGAAAGCCCAGGGCUCAACCUUGGAAUUGCCUUUGAUACUGGCUGUCUUGAGUUUGGGAGAGGUGAGUGGAACUCCGAGUGUAGAGGUGAAAUUCGUAGAUAUUCGGAAGAACACCAGUGGCGAAGGCGACUCACUGGCCCAAUACUGACGCUGAGGCGCGAAAGCGUGGGGAGCAAACAGGAUUAGAUACCCCAGUAGUCC
rnacentral:rRNA from 1 species